GACGAACGCUGGCGGCGUGCUUAAUACAUGCAAGUCGAACGGAAAGGCCCUGCUUUUGUGGGGUGCUCGAGUGGCGAACGGGUGAGUAACACGUGAGUAACCUGCCCUUGACUUUGGGAUAACUUCAGGAAACUGGGGCUAAUACCGGAUAGGAGCUCCUGCUGCAUGGGGGGGGUUGGAAAGUUUCGGCGGUUGGGGAUGGACUCGCGGCUUAUCAGCUUGUUGGUGGGGUAGUGGCUUACCAAGGCUUUGACGGGUAGCCGGCCUGAGAGGGUGACCGGCCACAUUGGGACUAAGAUACGGCCCAGACUCCUACGGGAGGCAGCAGUGGGGAAUAUUGCACAAUGGGCGGAAGCCUGAUGCAGCAACGCCGCGUGCGGGAUGACGGCCUUCGGGUUGUAAACCGCUUUCGCCUGUGACGAAGCGUGAGUGACGGUAAUGGGUAAAGAAGCACCGGCUAACUACGUG
rnacentral:rRNA from 1 species